rnacentral:rRNA from 1 species
GACGAACGCUGGCGGCGUGCUUAACACAUGCAAGUCGAACGGAAAGGUCCUGCUUUUGUGGGCUCGUCGGGGUGCGACCGGGGGAGUAACCCGUGAGUAACCUAUACUUGACUGUGGGGUAACUUCAUGAAACUGGGGCUAAUCGCGGAUAGGAUCUCCUGCUGCUGGGUGGGGGUUGGAUAGUUUCGGCGGUUGGGGAUGGAAUGGCGUCUUAUGAGCUUGUUGGUGGGGUAGUGGAUUAGCAUGGCUUUGACGGGUAGCCGGCCUGAGAGGGUGAGCGGCCACAUCGGGACUGAGAUACGGCACGGCCUAGUACGCGACGCAGGGGUGGGGAAUAUUGCACAAUGCGAUGAAGGCUGAUGCAGCAACGCCGCGCGGGGGAUGACGGCAAUCGCGUUGUAAACCGAUUUCGUCUGUGACGAAGCGUGAGUGACGGUAAUGGGUAAAGAAGCACCGGCUAACUACGUG